UGACAAUUGCAUAGCUUGGGAUCGGGACAGUAUACACAAGGUAUGUGAGGAUAUCAUUUUCCUUCUUUUGCAUGACUCCGAUUGUACAUAAUACUAUCACACCUCCUUUUUACCUGCACCAAAAAAGGGCGUAAAGGAGUUUUUCCAAUUAAAGGAUAAUCGAAACAUGAUUUAUUAUUAAGAUUCAGAGUCAUCACUAGGAAUAAUUUAUGGUGCAAGUCACCAGUUGAAUAACAAAUCGAGGAAAAGUUAACUCUGUAUUACAGUCUGUGAACCAGAAAUUCGAGUAAGGAAUUCUGUUAACCCGGGAGAAGGUGUUAGGCAUUUCCGAGUUCCAUGGUUCUAGCACAGUCACUCAACUAUUAUAACUGGCAUAAUUAUCUGAUUUUAAAGCGUUUUGAACUUAUGUGCAAUUUUAACUUUAUGGCUACUUUUAUUCAAUUAUAUCUUUUUAGGAAGAUUUUAACGUUAUUUAAAAUAUGUCUUGAACCACGUCACAAAAAUGCACCCGCAGUUCGCAACACAUUUUAUCUAACGUUGAGAGUUGGAUUUGAAUCAAUAAAUAUGCACCCAGGUUUGGGAAGUUGAAUUAUUGAAAUAACGCGCCUAAUGCAACUGUGCGUUUUCAAGUUUGCGAAGGUCAUAAAAAGUUCGCUAAUAGCACACCUCGAUUGUUCCAAAAAGUUUUACUCAACUAAAACAAACUACGGAUGUUCAUAGAGUAUUUUUCUAAGUUUGAGAAUGGUUGUGGAAAAGAUGUAUAAUUUUAAGUAUUUGGAGUAACGAAAUUAUAUUCCUUCAAAUUAAGAUACUAGUGGCCAAAUUCCUUAUGAAUGAAACUCGGCGGUAAACAUUUUUGAAACCCAUCCUUUUACUUUUGCCCUUUAACACUUAUGAAUAACUUUGUAGAUGCAUCAAAACCAUCAGAAUGACCAAAUAGUAAUUCAUACUACACGUUCUAACUAAGCUACAUAAGCAGCUACAACUUGUGUAUUUAUAUUUCCCUAACAAAUUCUCAAUUUACAAGGAAUCAACUAUCAUUAAUCAAAUAUCUUAAGAAAACAAUUGGAACCAAUUUAAUCCUUAAGCUCACUGUAACCAUGAAUAAUUGGUUUUAUGAAGUGAAUUCUGUCAACAAUUGCCUAAUAACUUGGUCACUCAAUUCAAGCGUGUCUUAUAGCAUCAAAUUAAAAUUAAUGAACUAAGCUUUUAUGCCUCACUCUCCAUCAACAAAUCACAACCCAAACAGUAGAGAGUAGUGCACACAAAAGAAACAAGAACCAAAAGCAAAACAGACUUAAAUUCAAUUUGACGUUGAAUAAUAUAGAGGAUAAAGAAACAGGCAACCAAAUAAUCACAAAUUCAUUUUUAAGAAGGGAUGGACCUUUAAUUGAAUCUGAAACUUAGAUGCCUACACUAUUUCGAGGCUCACAAGCAACGAAACCACGAACAAAACCCCGACUGGCAACGACAACCUCGACUCGGCAUCGAAAAACUCGAACUAGAAGCGGCCUGAGUUUAUCUUUCCGGCCAGCAAAAUAGAGAACCAACUAACAAUAUUUUCUCCUGUAAAACGUGGUCUAGAUCCCAAAGUAACCAAAGAAAAACAUGUUUAUCGCUGGAAGAUCGCUCCUCGUCAAACCUUACUUUAUUUUAUUUAUUUUCUUUUUCCCUCUCACUGUUCUUUCACCGCUGUCCGGUUUUUGGAGAGGAAAGGGUCUUAGGCUGACUUUGAGGUUCAGGGAAGGAGGUCGUUUGGCAUGAGGUCCAUAAGCAGCCGCUGCUGCUGGUUUUGAACGAAGAAGAAGGUGUUGCUGCUCAGGUUUUCAGAUGGGGGAAGGUUUAUUGGUUGUGUAAAGUGAGGUUUUUGUGAGUUAUAGCUGAAGGUUGAAUAUCAAAAGCAGGGGCCGAUCCUGGUCUGGCUGGGGUGGAGCGAGGAAGAUGAAUUUGGGGGGAGGUCUUUUUUUGUACUCUUGCGGCAGUGCUCCCUCAGAUCUUUUUUUUUUUCUUUGUGUGUGUUUUUCGUUCUCUUUUUAUUUUAUUGUAGAGUCUAGGCCUAGGGUUGGGUAUUGGGUAGGGUC
rnacentral:lncRNA from 1 species